rnacentral:rRNA from 1 species
ACCUCAAGAGUGCAAAGCCCCCCCGGUGUUGUGUUUUUUUUUUUUCUCAGCGCACUUUCCGGCCCUGACCGUCAAAGGAUUGACAGAUUGAGAGCUCUUUCUUGCUUUGGGGGGUGGUGGUGGGUGGCCGUUCUUAGUUGGUGGAGUGAUUUGUCUGGUUCCAUCCCACAACAAACACCACCCCAUCCAAUUAAAAAAAAAACCUAUUCUUGUCUUCUGUGCCUUUUCUUUAUGGGGGCAAGUGUGCCCCACCCUUUGAAACAAAACAAUUCCUGGGCUGCCUUGCCCCUAGAUGUCCGGCGCCCCCCCCCCCCCUAAUUGAAAGACAAAAUGAGCUCUCUAGCCUUUAUCGAGGAUCCCGAUCUCCCAAUGUAUUCUGGGGCGAUCUGGGCGCAUUUUGGCAAAAAAAUAUAAAAACACCCGCCCCCCCCCAAAAUACUUUCUUAAAAAACCCCCGGGAUUUUUACCCCGCGAAGGGGUUCCCCCCCAAAACCCUUUAUUUUUUCUAAAAAUUUUUCA